UCCGGUUUGUCACCGGCAGUCUCAUUAGAGUGCCCAACUCAAUGUAGCAACUAAUGACAAGGGUUGCGCUCGUUGCGGGACUUAACCCAACAUCUCACGACACGAGCUGACGACAGCCAUGCAGCACCUGUGUUACGGCUCCCUUUCGGGCACACCCCCCUCUCGAGAGGCUUCCGUACAUGUCAAGGGUAGGUAAGGUGGGGAUGACGUGUCGUUACCUUA
rnacentral:misc_RNA from 1 species